AGUACCUCAGAAAUUCUGGAUGAGUGCCCUCACAGACUAAUGACUCCUCAUUGUUUGGAGCAAUGCCAAAACCCAGAGUGAUGAUCACUUUCUCUGUCCAUCUCUUUUGUUUCCAUCCUGCCUUUAUCUCUUCUUUCUUCUUCCAUUGUAAAGCAGAUAAGUAAUGGGAGUUGCCUCUUUUGAAGAGCUGAAAGUAGGCAGAAUUCCCAGAUUUUCCAGCACCAGAUCUUCCUUGGCUAUUUGGACUUAUUUUGCAGUCAUGUUAGCCAUCAUCCAUGUUGUUUGUUUCUUUCUGUUUAGCAUGAUUUCACUAAUAGUCAAAAUUUGCUAGCCCAGAUAGUGUCCCUGAUGCUUUUGCCUGAAACAUCUCUGUGGAAUGUCACUGAAAAAAAGGAAAUAGAAGAAAAAAAAAAAAAAAAGUGAUUCAGAACAUAAUUUGGCUGACAAAAGCAAUGAAGCAAUAACCAUUCAACUCCAUGCAUGGAAAGGUUUUUGCUGUGGGACAUGGAGUCUACUGGGCUGUUCUUUGUGAGAAGAGUCUAGAAGCUGCCCAUUAUAGAUACAAGCCAGUUCCAUCUGCUGCUGUCCAAAGCAGAGCCAGUGAGAGAUGCUGAUUUUGCCUCUGUAAGAGCAUAUCUAAGAAAGGAGAAAAAAUCUGCUGUGCAGCAGCAGCUGGGAGAAAUGAGUGAGAAAAUGUAGAGUGAAAUAAUUCUGCAGAUGCAAAGAUCAGUGCAGAAGGAGGGGGAGGAGGUGCUCCAGAUACAGAAGCAGAAGUACCCUGCAGCCUGUGUGACACCUAUAGCAGGCUGUCUCCCUGCAGCCCGUGGGCACCACAUGAAACAGAUCUCCACACUGAGUCCCAUGGAGGAGCCCACAGGGGUGCAGGUGAAUGCAACCCACUGAAGGCCCAUAGAGGAGAAGAUUCUGUGACAAACCUGCAGCUUUUGGAGAGGAGUCCAUGGUGGAGCAAGAGGUCUGAGAGAGCUAUCACCCAUGGGGGACCCAUGCUGGAACUCACUGUUCUUGAAGGAUGGCCUCCAUGCUACAGUCCCAUCAAGGAGCAGUUACUGAAGAAAUACAGCCUGUGGUAAGCUGAUGUUGGAUUAGUUUAGGAGAGAUGGCAUCCCAUGGGAGAUAAUGUAUGCUGGAGCAGAGGAAGAGAGUGAAGAUGAAGGAGCAGCAAAAAUGAAGCAUUACAGACUGACCAUAGCCCAUUCUCCCUGCUUCCUUGUUCUGCAGUGGGAGAGGAGUAAGAAGAAGGUGUUUUUAUUUUGCUUUAAUUUCUCACUGUUCUAGUUUCCUAUUAAUAGCAAAUAAAUUAUAUUAAUCUCC
rnacentral:lncRNA from 7 species